AGCGCCCCGCCUUGACCCGGCCGUGGUGCGCAGGCGCAGUCUGCGCAGGGACUGGCGGGACUGCGCGGAGGCGACUGCAGACGUAUCGGGGGUCCGGAGCCUGUCGCGGCUGCUAAGCGCUCGGCGCCUGGCGCUGGCGCUGGCCAAGGCUUGGCCAACAGUGUUGCAAACAGGAACCCGAGGUGUUCACUUCACUGUUGAAGGAACGAGAGGGCAUCUGCUAAAGUUUCAGAUUCCAUUUCUGCUCAGUAUCCAGUAGUGGAUCAUGAAUUUGAUGCAGUGGUGGUAGGCGCUGGAGGGGCAGGCUUUGCGAGCUGCAUUUGGCCUUUCCGAGGCAGAGUUUGAUACAGCAUGUGUUACCAAGCUGUUUCCUACCAGGUCACACACUGUUGCAGCGCAGCUAGAAAAUUAUGGCAUGCCGUUUAGCAGAACUGAAGAUGGGAAGAUUUAUCAGCGUGCAUUUGGUGGACAGAGCCUCAAGUUUGGAAAGGGCAGGCAGGCCCAUCGGUGCUGCUGUGUGGCUGAUCGGACCGGCCACUCAAUAUUGCACACCUCAUAUGGGAGGUCUCUGAGAUAUGAUACCAGCUGUUUUGUGGAGUAUUUUGCCUUGGAUCUCCUGAUAGAGAACAGGGAGUGCCGUGGUGUCAUUGCACUGUGCAUAGAGGACGGGUCCAUCCAUCACAUAAGAGCAAAGAACACUGUUGUUGCCACAGGAGUCAAGAAACUUUUCUUUUGAGCUAUUGACAGCUUUUAACAAGUUAUUAUACUCCUAUGAACAAAAUUUGGAGCAUAUUUGUUUCUCUCUGCCUGAUUUCUCCUGAAUUUGGAAACUAUUUGACAUGAGGAUUCUCAACCUGAUAAAAAUGAGCUUUCCUAAUAACUCAAGACCCAUCUGCCUAGGAAUAAACCAUCCCAGCUGUGAGAGACCAGACGAAACCUGAGACCAGAGACUCGUUUUCUUCUAAAAUGCUUUCUCCAAAAGAUUUUUAAACAGAAAAAGGGGGAAAUGUGAAAGGAAAAGAAAACUUGAGGCCCCCAAAAUCACUAAGCUAAAAGGAAAAGUCAAGCUGGGAAUGGCUUAGGGCAAACCUGCCUCCCAUUCUAUGCAAAGUCAUCCCUCCGUGCACUGAGAUAAAUGCUUAUCUAAUUGCCUCCUUUGGAGAGGCUCAUCAGAAACUCAAAAUAAUGCAACCAUUUGACUCUCACCUACCUGUGACCUGGAAGAUCCCUCUCUGCUUGAGUUGUCCUGCUUUUCUGGAUGGAACCAAUGUUCAUCUUACAUAUAUUGAUUGAUGUCUCAUGUCUCCCUAAAAUGUAUAAAACCAAGCUGUGCCCUGACCACCUUGGGCACAUGUCGUCAGGACCUCCUGAGGCUGUGCCACAGGCAUGCAGCCUCAACCUUGGCAAAAUAAACUUUCUAAAUUGACUGAGACCA
ensembl:lncRNA SDHAP4 SDHA pseudogene 4